AGGUGAAGCUAAAACAUAAAAGCGCUGAAAGACCAAGAAGCAUCUCCUAAAGAGCUGUUGAAUCAGCACGCUGAAGAAGUACAGAGACUGGCGAACAAGCUGGGCGCCGAUAAACUCAGACAGCAGCAAACACUUCAAUUUAGAAUUCUACAAAAUAAGAAAUCUUUCUGAAGCAGCCAGUCCUAGGUGGACGAAAAGAAUUAGGAAGCUUCCAGUAUCGAAGAUUGCCCUCAUCUACGCUGAGCAGGAAGCUGUACAACAACCGGUCUGACAAGUUACAAGUGGUGGACCUACAUCAUCUAGAAUCUAGAUGUACAGUUAACAACUCUACCUCGAUUCGAUGCAGUGGGAGAGGUUGAAGUUGACGUUCGAGCAGUCACCCUGGCGAACAAGAAAUCUUUCAGGCCAAGAGGUUAGGUGACUAGAAACUCAAUCACUAUAUCCGUGAAACUUGUCGGGAGCACUGUUAUUUGUGGAGGUCGGACCGAAACUGUAAUCAGACACUAAACAUUGACGAGGACCAAUUACUCUACUCCUUCAAUGAUUAAUAAAGAUCGCUGAUUGCUUUUACUAAUGUAUAGUGUUAAAAUGAAAGAGAAAUUGUUGAGACGAAAGAGAAAAAGGCACUCAUUUAUUUAUAGUUUUAUGUCUUGACAAUGAUAUUCGAAAGCUAAUUUUAAAAACUGGCUCUGAACCCUUGCUAAAUGAUUUAGGAAGGUGUACGGGAUAAAUAUGCCUGUAGACAUCAUUUUCAGUGGGUUUUAUGAAGUUUAUGAUUAGGGUAUAUUUUGGGACUGAAAUAAGCGCAAGACCUUCGACGUUUCUAUUGCUACUGUUUUUUUAAUUUAGCAAAUAUACAAACGAAUUUUAUACUGUCGUAAAGAUAAAAUAUUUAGUUAUCGGAUAGAGACUUGAAAAUUAAGUAUUACAAUAACCAAGCUAAAAUAUUCAAUGUUAAACUCAAAAAUUCUCACGCGUUUAUGAAGAAAUAUUUAGUUCUGCGCGUAGUUUUUUGGUCACAUCUACGGCAAAUUUUCGCCAAUUUUGUUCAUAAUUUCAAAAUGUUAUUUAGUAGACAAAUUACUUUCGGACUACA